rnacentral:rRNA from 1 species
GACAGAGGGUGCAAACGUUGUUCGGAAUUACUGGGCGUAAAGCGCGUGUAGGUGGCGAGGCAAGUCGGGUGUGAAAGCCCUGGGCUCAACCCAGGAAGUGCACUCGAUACUGCCUAGCUAGAGUCCCGGAGAGGUUGGUGGAACUCUCGGUGUAGAGGUGAAAUUCGUAGAUAUCGAGAAGAACACCGGUGGCGAAGGCGGCCACUGGACGGUGACUGACACUGAGACGCGAAAGCGUGGGGGAGACAAACAGGAUUAAGUGACC